ACGACCGGCGCACGGGUGAGUAACGCGUAUGCAACCUACCUUUAACAGGGGAAUAGCCCGAAGAAAUUCGGAUUAAUACCCCAUACCACUAUAGAUAAGCAUUUAUUUAUAUUGAAAACUCCGGUGGUUAAAGAUGGGCAUGCGUGACAUUAGUUUGUUGGUGAGGUAACGGCUCACCAAGACUACGAUGUCUAGGGGGUCUGAGAGGAUGGUCCCCCACACUGGUACUGAGACACGGACCAG
rnacentral:rRNA from 1 species